AGCGCAUACGGUGGAUGCCUUGGCAGUCAGAGGCGAUGAAAGACGUGGUAGCCUGCGAAAAGCUUCGGGGAGUCGGCAAACAGACUGUGAUCCGGAGAUGUCUGAAUGGGGGAACCCAGCCAUCAUAAGAUGGUUAUCUUGUACUGAAUACAUAGGUGCAAGAGGCGAACCAGGGGAACUGAAACAUCUAAGUACCCUGAGGAAAAGAAAUCAACCGAGAUUCCCUUAGUAGUGGCGAGCGAACGGGGACCAGCCCUUAAGUUGUAUUGAGAUUAGCGGAACGUUCUGGAAAGGACGGCCAUAGUGGGUGAUAGCCCUGUACGCGAAAAUCCCUUUGCAAUGAAAUCGAGUAGGACGGGGCACGAGAAACCUUGUCUGAAUAUGGGGGGACCAUCCUCCAAGGCUAAAUACUACUGACUGACCGAUAGUGAACCAGUACCGUGAGGGAAAGGCGAAAAGAACCGCGGAGAGCGGAGUGAAAUAGAUCCUGAAACCGUAUGCGUACAAGCAGUGGGAGCCCACUUUGUUGGGUGACUGCGUACCUUUUGUAUAAUGGGUCAGCGACUUAUUUUCAGUGGCGAGCUUAACCGAAUAGGGGAGGCGUAGCGAAAGCGAGUCUUAAUAGGGCGUCUAGUCGCUGGGAAUAGACCCGAAACCGGGCGAUCUAUCCAUGGGCAGGUUGAAGGUUGGGUAACACUAACUGGAGGACCGAACCGACUACCGUUGAAAAGUUAGCGGAUGACCUGUGGAUCGGAGUGAAAGGCUAAUCAAGCUCGGAGAUAGCUGGUUCUCCUCGAAAGCUAUUUAGGUAGCGCCUCAUGUAUCACUGUAGGGGGUAGAGCACUGUUUCGGCUAGGGGGUCAUCCCGACUUACCAAACCGAUGCAAACUCCGAAUACCUACAAGUGCCGAGCAUGGGAGACACACGGCGGGUGCUAACGUCCGUCGUGAAAAGGGAAACAACCCAGACCGUCAGCUAAGGUCCCAAAGUCAUGGUUAAGUGGGAAACGAUGUGGGAAGGCUUAGACAGCUAGGAGGUUGGCUUAGAAGCAGCCACCCUUUAAAGAAAGCGUAAUAGCUCACUAGUCGAGUCGGCCUGCGCGGAAGAUGUAACGGGGCUCAAACCAUGCACCGAAGCUACGGGUAUCAUCUUAUGAUGAUGCGGUAGAGGAGCGUUCUGUAAGCCUGUGAAGGUGAGUUGAGAAGCUUGCUGGAGGUAUCAGAAGUGCGAAUGCUGACAUGAGUAACGACAAUGGGUGUGAAAAACACCCACGCCGAAAGACCAAGGUUUCCUGCGCAACGUUAAUCGACGCAGGGUUAGUCGGUCCCUAAGGCGAGGCUGAAAAGCGUAGUCGAUGGAAAACAGGUUAAUAUUCCUGUACUUCUGGUUAUUGCGAUGGAGGGACGGAGAAGGCUAGGCCAGCCUGGCGUUGGUAGUCCAGGUUUAAGGUGGUAGGCUGAGAUCUUAGGUAAAUCCGGGAUCUUAAGGCCGAGAGCUGAUGACGAGUGUUCUUUUAGAACACGAAGUGGUUGAUGCCAUGCUUCCAAGAAAAGCUUCUAAGCUUCAGGUAACCAGGAACCGUACCCCAAACCGACACAGGUGGUUGGGUAGAGAAUACCAAGGCGCUUGAGAGAACUCGGGUGAAGGAACUAGGCAAAAUGGCACCGUAACUUCGGGAGAAGGUGCGCCGGUGGAGGUGAAGCAUUUACUGCGUAAGCCCCUGCCGGUCGAAGAUACCAGGCCGCUGCGACUGUUUAUUAAAAACACAGCACUCUGCAAACACGAAAGUGGACGUAUAGGGUGUGACGCCUGCCCGGUGCCGGAAGGUUAAUUGAUGGGGUUAGCGCAAGCGAAGCUCUUGAUCGAAGCCCCGGUAAACGGCGGCCGUAACUAUAACGGUCCUAAGGUAGCGAAAUUCCUUGUCGGGUAAGUUCCGACCUGCACGAAUGGCGUAACGAUGGCGGCGCUGUCUCCACCCGAGACUCAGUGAAAUUGAAAUCGCUGUGAAGAUGCAGUGUAUCCGCGGCUAGACGGAAAGACCCCGUGAACCUUUACUAUAGCUUUGCACUGGACUUUGAAUUUGCUUGUGUAGGAUAGGUGGGAGGCUUUGAAGCGUGGACGCCAGUCUGCGUGGAGCCAACCUUGAAAUACCACCCUGGCAACUUUGAGGUUCUAACUCAGGUCCGUUAUCCGGAUCGAGGACAGUGUAUGGUGGGUAGUUUGACUGGGGCGGUCUCCUCCUAAAGAGUAACGGAGGAGUACGAAGGUGCGCUCAGACCGGUCGGAAAUCGGUCGUAGAGUAUAAAGGCAAAAGCGCGCUUGACUGCGAGACAGACACGUCGAGCAGGUACGAAAGUAGGUCUUAGUGAUCCGGUGGUUCUGUAUGGAAGGGCCAUCGCUCAACGGAUAAAAGGUACUCCGGGGAUAACAGGCUGAUACCGCCCAAGAGUUCAUAUCGACGGCGGUGUUUGGCACCUCGAUGUCGGCUCAUCACAUCCUGGGGCUGAAGCCGGUCCCAAGGGUAUGGCUGUUCGCCAUUUAAAGUGGUACGCGAGCUGGGUUUAGAACGUCGUGAGACAGUUCGGUCCCUAUCUGCCGUGGACGUUUGAGAUUUGAGAGGGGCUGCUCCUAGUACGAGAGGACCGGAGUGGACGAACCUCUGGUGUUCCGGUUGUCACGCCAGUGGCAUUGCCGGGUAGCUAUGUUCGGAAAAGAUAACCGCUGAAAGCAUCUAAGCGGGAAACUUGCCUCAAGAUGAGAUCUCACUGGAACCUUGA
rnacentral:rRNA from 1 species